GAAUCCUGCCCGAUACAUUACUCAGCUAGGUUGAGGAGAAAAAUACAAACCAUUGACAGCUACAUUGAUAGCUACAAUGAUAGUCUAGAUGUGGUAUGGGACUCCAGAUGGAAGUACUGAAGAUUAAACAGAUGUUGGAAGGUGAAGAGAUGGGAGGGGAGAAUGAUGUGAGUAUCCCAAACAGAAACAGAACCUGGACAGCCAGGGGGCCUAGACAGAGUGUGCACAGCCACGGUCUAGGAAAUCUGAGGAGUCCAUGAGUUACGGAGCAUAGGGUACAGGUUAAAAGUAACAGAACUUGAGACGAGUCUGAGGGGAUACAAGAGAGACCAUUUAAGGCCUUGAGAGUGAGCUAAGUAGUUUGAACUUGAACCCAAGAGCUUCAUCUUUUUACAAGUCAUGCGGUACUGUUUAACUUAACAACCUGGAUCUGACUAUGUAGGUCAAGUAUUGACCCCAACCUACUGCAGCUAUUUUGGACAAGUUCGAACCUACAUUUCUUCACAGUCUUCUUAUACGAAGAACGGCGCUAAGUGCUGCUGCAUACAAAUUUGUGAGGAUCAAGUGAAAAUAUGCUAGAAAUCAGCCAGCACACAAUGCGUAGUCUAUGGAGAAAAUAUUUGCACAAAAUUACUUGGAUCAUUUUUAUGGAAUCACAACUUCUCUCCCAGUCAUUUCAGAUGAUGGAUAGUUAUUUUAUUCCUUCUAACAAAAUAUCUCACUCAGGAUUCUAUCUGAUACUGUUUUGGUCAGUCUUGAAAUCCGGCAAAUAGAGCUGGUCUGAGGAAGAGAAGAUUGCAAGAUAUAUGAAACUUGAGUUUUAAGUGUUUAUUCUUCAAUAUGCUCUCCUCCAUCUUGUCCUCUUUAAUUCCACAUGUUAAACCUCCACAAUGGUCUUUUCUUUAGCUUAAUGGCAUUGAUUUUGCCAAAAUAACAACUACGACUGGUUAAAUAAAGUUAUGUUUUGUCAGCUA
rnacentral:lncRNA from 1 species